UACGUAGGGUGCAAGCGUUAAUCGGAAUUACUGGGCGUAAAGCGUGCGCAGGCGGUUGUGCAAGACAGAUGUGAAAAUCCCCCGGGCUCAACCCUGGGGAACUGCAUUUGUGACUGCACGGCUGGAGUGCGGCAGAGGGGGAUGGAAUUCCGCGUGUAGCAGUGAAAUGCGUAGAUAUGCGGAGGAACACCGAUGGCGAAGGCAAUCCCCUGGGCCUGCACUGACGCUCAUGCACGAAAGCGUGGGGAGCAAACAGG
rnacentral:rRNA from 1 species